CACUUGCAGGACUCGCGUUUUUCACCAGGAAGUUACCCAGUCAACACAAGCACGUGGGCUCGCCGACGGCGCUUUACGGCGAAGGCAAAGUGCCAUAAAGCAGAUCCGCUUUACGUCGCGCUCGUGCGACAGGCUUAGAACGUCCGGUUCCCCAUUCUGCCCCCUACCGCGGCUCUUUGAAAGCACGCGCGCUUGUUCCCAUUUGUUCUCAGAGCCCCAGAACGUGAGCAGCUGAGGGUAGGUGGGAGCUUCCUGGGUUACGUGGGUCGGGAGGCAUGAGCUUUGUGUUUGUGUUUUGGUUAUGGAAAUAAGUGCGUAAAUGUGUAGUAGUGGAGAUAGUCGAAUGCAGUGACUUUACAGUAUACUGCAAUAAAAAUAUUAAUCCACAUUUAAGGAUGCUUCAACAUCUCACUUCAUCAUCACGACAGUGUACAAAUAGGUCUUGUUAAUAAGCCUGAUGUUGCAGAUGAGGAAGCUGAUGCUUAGAAAGGAUAGCACGCUAGCAAGAGAAGAGAGAAAAACCUUAAUUGAUGCAACCACAUGCUUUUACACAUUAGGGUCUGCCACUUGCGUGUGUUACAUCAAGCAUGGGGCCCACAAGUCUGAGAUUCCCAGCCUAACCCAACUCUCGCGUUUUCUGAAAAUCACAACUCCUCUGAGCACCACUGAUUAAUUUAUGUGAUGACUUAGAAAAAUUUUCUUUUGGGAGGCCGAGGCGUGUGGAUCACGAGGUCAAGAGAUCGAGACCAUCCUGGUCAACAAGGUGAAACCCCGUCUCUACUAAGAAUACAAAAAUUAGCUGGGCAUGGUGGUGCUCACCUGUAGUCCCAGCUACUCGGGAGGCUGAGGCAGGAGAAUUGCUUGAACCCAGAAGGCGGAGGUUGCGGUGAGCCGAGAUCGCGCCAUUGCACUCCAGUCUGGGUAACAACAGCGAAACUCCAUCUUAAAAAAAGAAAAAUUUUCUUUUGGAGGGGGAGAAAUAAGGGAAAAAUAAUCCCCAGGGUACAGAUUGUGGUCCUGCUUUUUAAAAAAUCAAGUUAGGAAUUACCAUCUGGAAUGAAACUGAGUCUAUAAUUGCCUAUUAGCUCAAAUCAAUGUUCUCCCUUUUUUGAUUGUUAACAAAUCACUCCCCAGUAAACUGUGACAUCCCAGCCUUAACCCCAAGCCUAGCACCUCUGGUAUGGUAGGCUUCAACGAUGUGAAUGUUCUAUCUGGGCAGUUAUUUACCUUCCAUUUUGGGGGAAGCUUUUCUCCUUUAGAUAGUGAAGGCUCUAAAACACCAGCUUUUCUCAUAUUUACUUUAACCACCAUAUACAUUUCUCAUGAACAAGAUUUUCUAGCUGUACAGUUUUAUUUCUUCUUAUUUUCUUCAUCAUGCAUUCAUUCUGGCUAGAACCAAACUUUUUAGAAAUAAAAUUUAUAACUAAAAAUGUCCUUUCA
rnacentral:lncRNA from 13 species